rnacentral:rRNA from 1 species
UACACGCUGUGACUAGCAUAUCAAUAAGCGGAGGAAAAGAAACUAACAAGGAUUCCCCUGGUAACGGCGAGUGAAGCGGGAAGAGCUCAAAUUUGAAAUCUUAAAGGGUUUCCCUUUACGAAUUGUAGUUUAAAGAAGUGUUUUCUGUUGAGGUUUUGGUAAAAGUUCUUCGGAAUAGGACAUCAUAGAGGGUGAGAAUCCCGUAUUUGACCUUUACUUUCAACUUUGUGAUACACUUUCAAAGAGUCGGAUUAUUUGGGAAUGCAGUCCAAAAUGGGUGGUAAAUUUCAUCUAAAGCUAAAUAUUGGCGAGAGACCGAUAGCGAACAAGUACCGUGAGGGAAAGAUGAAAAGAACUUUGCAAAGAGAGUUAAACAGUACGUGAAAUUGUCAAAAGGGAAGCGUUUGACACCAGUGUUGUUUUUCUGAAAAUCAAUUAAAGAACUGUUUAUGCUAAGUUGUUUAGACUUUAUCAGCUAACUGUUUAGUUUUGAGCUUUUCUUUAAUGCACUUUUCAGUUAACAAGUCAACAUCAAUUUCUUUUGCUGUAAAAAAGCUUGAGGAAGGUGGCUUGAGAUUCGUCUUAAGUGUUUAUAGCCUCUUGCCUAUGCAGUCGGAGAGAUUGAGGUCUGCAGCGUAGAUCCUUCGGGGCUAAAUGCAUUUGUGCUAAGUUAUAGCAUUUUAUAGACAACUUGUUGACUAUGAUUUGUCUUGUAGCUUACUCGCUUAUGUUAUUUUACCUACGCUUAGGAUGUUGAAGAUGUAGCACAUCAU